rnacentral:rRNA from 1 species
GACGAACGCUGGCGGCGUGCUUAACACAUGCAAGUCGAACGGAAAGGCCCCCUUGUGGGGUACUCGAGUGGCGAACGGGUGAGUAACACGUGAGUAACCUACCCUGGCCUUUGGGAUAACUUCAGGAAACUGGGGCUAAUACCGGAUAGGAGCUCCUUCUGCAUGGUGGGGGUUGGAACGUUUCGGCGGUUGGGGUUGGACUCGCGGCUUAUCAGCUUGUUGGUGGGGUAGUGGCUCACCAAGGCUUUGACGGGUAGCCGGCCUGAGAGGGUGACCGGCCACAUUGGGGCUGAGAUACGGCCCAGACUCCUACGGGAGGCAGCAGUGGGGAAUAUUGCACAAUGGGCGGAAGCCUGAUGCAGCAACGCCGCGUGCGGGAUGACGGCCUUCGGGUUGUAAACCGCUUUCGCCUGUGACGAAGCGUGAGUGACGGUAAUGGGUAAAGAAGCACCGGCUAACUACGUG